UAUGUAUGUAUUUUCCAUCCUCAGAGAAGAUCACUUCAUAGGAUAUUUGUUCUCUUUACAAAAGAAAAAAUCAUAAUGGUGAUCAUGGUUACCAUAUAUGGGAGUAAUAGAGACUAUGAAGAAGAGUUUUUCUUCCAGGGGAAGAAGGAUGGCAGAAAUGCAGAGGACAUUAUUACCUCUGCUGCUCAGCACAGAUCCUCAACCUGAGCUAUUUUUGAGGCUCCCUAAGGUGGAAACCUACAGAGGAAGCUACAGUGAACACCUUUGAUGCCAUGAGGCCCUCCAGGAAUAAACAAGACUCCAACAGACAUGGCAAUGUCCAGCAGCUCGCCUGGAAAGCAGAUUUGUUUACCUUUCAGGUAGGUACUCAUUACCUUCAUAUUACAAAUGAGGAAAUUAAGUUUUUGAAGGAUGAAGUGGCUUGUCCAGGGUCACGUGGCAAGUAAAUGGUGGAGCCAAGAAGAGAAGAGAACAGCAAGCAGUGUUUCCCUAACCCACUCCUG
rnacentral:lncRNA from 1 species